ACGAACGCUGGCGGCGUGCUUAACACAUGCAAGUCGCACGGAAAGGCCCGGCUUUUGUGGGGUGCUCGAGUGGCGAACGGGUGAGUAACACGUGAGUAACCUGCCCUUGACUUUGGGAUAACUUCAGGAAACUGGGGCUAAUACCGGAUAGGAGCUCCUGCUGCAUGGUGGGGGUUGGAAAGUUUCGGCGGUUGGGGAUGGACUCGCGGCUUAUCAGCUUGUUGGUGGGGUAGUGGCUUACCAAGGCUUUGACGGGUAGCCGGCCUGAGAGGGUGACCGGCCACAUUGGGACUGAGAUACGGCCCAGACUCCUACGGGGGGCAGCAGUGGGGAAUAUUGCACAAUGGGCGGAAGCCUGAUGCAGCAACGCCGCGUGCGGGAUGACGGCCUUCGGGUUGUAAACCGCUUUCGCCUGUGACGAAGCGUGAGUGACGGUAAUGGGUAAAGAAGCACCGGCUAACUACGUG
rnacentral:rRNA from 1 species